CUACCACACGGGUCAAAACGAAAACGAGUAACGCUACACCCGUUGUCGCUCUCAAAGUCGGAGCUGGAAGUUUGAUCCAAAAACAAACUACGGUGAAUUCAAAGGUCAAAGGACUAUUAUGGAGUCGUGGUUGUCCUAUUACUAGACACACACGAGUUGGUUUUUUACGUCGGACGUGUUGUGUUUUGUUUCAAUUCGGGUGAGAAAAAUAAAAAGUUAGUAGACGAAAACAAUAUACUUGGUGUAUUCAUCCUAUCUUAAAAACUUCACGAUGUGGGAUCUACACAUAAACAAGUUUGGAAUCUCAGUCGUCGAUCAUCGUAAAGACACAUACUGUACAAGGACGGCUUCGGAAGUAAGUUGCGGUUAUGGACGUUAAAAAAUAAUCAAGUACCCCCAAUUUUAAAACUUUAUCUAUGCCAAGUAUGGUUGAUCUGUCUCUUGUAUUUAAAGUACUAAAAAAGAAGUUUUCGUGGAAAUGAUAAAAAUAAACUAGGUUUUGUUAUUUGGUUGAAUGUAGAAGAAAGACGACGUGUUUUGCCGGUUGUACAACUGGUCGUUCACCCAAACUAGAUAAUGAGUGUUCUAAGUCUCGUCGUAAGCUACCACAACGGUUGAGUAUUUGACCUCACCACUUGCUCAUUCCACCUCAGUAAACGUCCAUAACGACAGGUGACAGAAGGUAACUUUUUCGGAACCAAGUUUGUAGUGGCGACCCAUGACCCUAACGUGUCCUACGUUAGUUUUAAGUAGUUACUCCUGAUCGUAUACAAAGUAUCUUUUUCUCUUCCUAUAAUGUCCGCGUGUACUAGAACCAUUGGUUUGGUUAAAGGGUUCCAAAAUGUUAGUUUUUCCCUAGAUGUUUCCUAGAUGUUCCUGUCAAAGAGAGUACAGUCUGUUUGCUUGUUUGUUCGGGUUGUGUUUUUCCGGGUCCCACACCC
rnacentral:rRNA from 1 species